rnacentral:rRNA from 1 species
UAGGGAAUCUUCGGCAAUGGACGAAAGUCUGACCGAGCAACGCCGCGUGAGUGAAGAAGGUUUUCGGAUCGUAAAACUCUGUUGGUAGAGAAGAACGUUGGUGAGAGUGGAAAGCUCAUCAAGUGACGGUAACUACCCAGAAAGGGACGGCUAACUACGUGCCAGCAGCCGCGGUAAUACGUAGGUCCCGAGCGUUGUCCGGAUUUAUUGGGCGUAAAGCGAGCGCAGGUGGUUUAUUAAGUCUGGUGUAAAAGGCAGUGGCUCAACCAUUGUAUGCAUUGGAAACUGGUAGACUUGAGUGCAGGAGAGGAGAGUGGAAUUCCAUGUGUAGCGGUGAAAUGCGUAGAUAUAUGGAGGAACACCGGUGGCGAAAAGCGGCUCUCUGGCCUGUAACUGACACUGAGGCUCGAAAGCGUGGGGAGCAAACAGGAUUAGAUACCCUGGUAGUCCACGCCGUAAACGAUGAGUGCUAGAUGUAGGGAGCUAUAAGUUCUCUGUAUCGCAGCUAACGCAAUAAGCACUCCGCCUGGGGAGUACGACCGCAAGGUUGAA